rnacentral:misc_RNA from 1 species
UGAUUGUAUCAGUUAUGCCUGUGGU